UGUUAUUUACAAAAGGUACAUACCUGGAGUCAUUGGGUAAUACUCAUAAAUGUUGUGACUCGGUGCGGGAACGAUUUCUGGUAUGGAUUCAUCGAUAUUUUUACCCUCAUUAUGGAAUGUAACACGGUAGUUAUAUGAAAUGUCUUGUUUGUACCAGAAUGAAGGUCAACAAGACGGGGUACAGGUAUACCUGGACUUCCUUGGGGAUGUAGAUCAACAAGACGGGGUAGAGGUACAUCCUAUGCCUUUAUUUGUUCCAGUGCCUUGCUAUUUGAAGUUACCAUACUUACUUUUUGUUAUGAUGAGUGACCUAUCACAAUUGUAGGUCAACAUGAGAAGAUGAAAUAAAAACCAUUUUAUAAUGCAAGUUAUUUACAAAAGCCCCAAACAUGGAGUCAUUGGGUCGUACUCAUCAAUGUUGUGACUUGGUGCGGGAACGAUUUCUGGGAUGGAUUCAUCGACGGAAUUACCCUCAAUAUGGCCUGCAAAAUGAUUUCUCAUGUUGUGUUUACAUCAGAAUAAAGGUCAACAAGACAGGGCAGAGGUAUACUUGAACUUCGUUGGGGAUGUAGAUCAACGAGGGGGUAGAGGUACAUCCGAUGCCUUUCUCUGUUCCGGUGCCUUGCUAUUACAAUUUCCCAUACUUCGUUGGGGAUGUAGAUCAACAAGAGGGGGUAGAGGUCAAUUUCAAUGUCAACGUACAGGAGGACAAAACCGGAUGAUAAUUAGUAUAUGUUUG
rnacentral:lncRNA from 1 species